rnacentral:rRNA from 1 species
UACGAAGGGUGCAAACGUUGCUCGGAAUUAUUGGGCGUAAAGCGCACGUAGGCGGCUUAGCAAGUCGGAAGUGAAAUCCCUCGGCUCAACCAAGGAAGUGCUUUCGAAACUGCUGAGCUUGAGUACUUAAGAGGAUCGCGGAAUUCCCGGUGUAGAGGUGAAAUUCGUAGAUAUUAGCAGGAACACCGGUGGCGAAGGCGGCUAUCUGGACGACAACUGACGCUGAGGCGCGAAAGCGUGGGGAUCAAACAGG